rnacentral:sRNA from 1 species
GCCGGGUGUGGUGGUGCGUGCCUGUAAUCCCAGCUACUCGGGAGGCUGAGGCAGGAGAAUCACUUGAACCCGGGAGGUGGAGGUUGCAGUGAGCCGAGAUGGUGCCACUGCACUCCAGCCUGGGUGACAGAGGGAGACUCUGUCUCAA